rnacentral:rRNA from 1 species
GACGUAGGGCGCGAGCGUUGUCCGGAUUUAUUGGGCGUAAAGAGCUCGUAGGCGGCUUGUCGCGUCGUUCGUGAAAACCCGGGGCUCAACUCCGGGCUUGCGGGCGAUACGGGCAGGCUAGAGUUCGGUAGGGGAGAAUGGAAUUCCUGGUGUAGCGGUGAAAUGCGCAGAUAUCAGGAAGAACACCCGUGGCUAAGGCGGUUCUCUAGUACGGUACUGACGCUGAGACGCGAAAGCGUGGGGAGCGAACAGG